GAUGUUGUGUCUGUGCUGCCAACGUUAAACGCUGAGGACAGAGGAUAAAACAUGUGGAACUAGAUUUCAUGGUAUUGUACACAAAAUGCUAAGAUUGACGGUGUCUCCGACAACGAAGAGAUGAUCGUAAUGACAAUAAAUUGGUUUAUGUAGCGAACUAGCUGAUCCGGGCCCGCUCCGCUGCGCCUUCUUUUACUUUAUAUGUAACAAAAGUUUCCUUGGAAUAUUUAUU